rnacentral:miRNA from 1 species
UCAUCUUCAUCAUCAUCGUCA